rnacentral:tRNA from 1 species
GUGGCUGGCUCAGUGGUAGAAUGCUUGCCUAGAAAGCAUGAGGACCUGGGUUCAAUCUCCAGCACCACC